rnacentral:rRNA from 1 species
UGCUAUAAUGCAGUCGAGCGAAUGGAUUGAGAGCUUGCUCUCAAGAAGUUAGCGGCGGACGGGUGAGUAACACGUGGGUAACCUGCCCAUAAGACUGGGAUAACUCCGGGAAACCGGGGCUAAUACCGGAUAACAUUUUGAACUGCAUGGUUCGAAAUUGAAAGGCGGCUUCGGCUGUCACUUAUGGAUGGACCCGCGUCGCAUUAGCUAGUUGGUGAGGUAACGGCUCACCAAGGCAACGAUGCGUAGCCGACCUGAGAGGGUGAUCGGCCACACUGGGACUGAGACACGGCCCAGACUCCUACGGGAGGCAGCAGUAGGGAAUCUUCCGCAAUGGACGAAAGUCUGACGGAGCAACGCCGCGUGAGUGAUGAAGGCUUUCGGGUCGUAAAACUCUGUUGUUAGGGAAGAACAAGUGCUAGUUGAAUAAGCUGGCACCUUGACGGUACCUAACCAGAAAGCCACGGCUAACUACGUGCCAGCAGCCGCGGUAAUACGUAGGUGGCAAGCGUUAUCCGGAAUUAUUGGGCGUAAAGCGCGCGCAGGUGGUUUCUUAAGUCUGAUGUGAAAGCCCACGGCUCAACCGUGGAGGGUCAUUGGAAACUGGGAGACUUGAGUGCAGAAGAGGAAAGUGGAAUUCCAUGUGUAGCGGUGAAAUGCGUAGAGAUA